rnacentral:rRNA from 1 species
CGCGUAGGCGGCUUGUACAGUCAGACGUGAAAUUCCUGGGCUCAACCUGGGGGCUGCGUUUGAUACGUGUGGGCUUGAGUUCGGAAGAGGGUCGUGGAAUUCCCAGUGUAGAGGUGAAAUUCGUAGAUAUUGGGAAGAACACCGGUGGCGAAGGCGGCGACCUGGUCCGAUACUGACGCUGAGGCGCGAAAGCGUGGGGAGAAC